GAUGAAGAACGUAGCGAAAUGCGAUAAGUAAUGUGAAUUGCAGAAUUCAGUGAAUCAUCGAAUCUUUGAACGCAUCUUGCGCUCCUUGGUAUUCUGAGGAGCAUGCCUGUUUGAGUGUCAUUAAAUUCUCAACUACACUGACUUUGAAUUGGUGUGGCUUGGAUUUGGGGGGAAAAUUGUUGUGGGCUUUUUGUAUAGUCUGCUCCCCUGAAAUUGAUUAGCGGUACCUUUGUGGAACUGUCUACAGGUGUGAUAAUUAUCUACAUCUUAGACAUCUGCUGGAAUGCUGCUUUCUAAACCUUACUUGUAUUGACAAUCUUGACCUCAAAUCAGGUAGGACUACCCGCUGAACUUAAGCAUAUAAUAAGCGGAGGA
rnacentral:misc_RNA from 1 species